ACGAACGCUGGCGGCGUGCUUAACACAUGCCAGUCGAACGGUGAAGCGCCUUCCUUUUUGGUGGGUGUGGAUGAGUGGCGAACGGGUGAGUAACACGUGAGUAACCUGCCCCCUUCUUCUGGAUAACCGCAUGAAAGUGUGGCUAAUACGGGAUAUUCUGGGUCUGUCGCAUGAUGGGUCUGGGAAAGAUAUUGUUUCGGUGGGGGAUGGGCUCGCGGCCUAUCAGCUUGUUGGUGGGGUGAUGGCCUACCAAGGCGGUGACGGGUAGCCGGCCUGAGAGGGUGGACGGUCACACUGGGACUGAGACACGGCCCAGACUACUACGGGAGGCAGAAGUGGGGAAUAUUGCACAAUGGGCGAAAGCCUGAUGCAGCGACGCCGCGUGAGGGAUGGAGGCCUGCGGGUUGUGAACCUCUUUCGCCAGUGAAGCAGGCCUGCCUCGUUUGUGGGUGGGUUGACGGUAGCUGGAUAAGAAGCGCCGGCUAACUACGUG
rnacentral:rRNA from 1 species